GAUGAACGCUGGCGGCGUGCCUAAUACAUGCAAGUCGAGCGAACGGACGAGAAGCUUGCUUCUCUGAUGUUAGCGGCGGACGGGUGAGUAACACGUGGAUAACCUACCUAUAAGACUGGGAUAACUUCGGGAAACCGGAGCUAAUACCGGAUAAUAUUUUGAACCGCAUGGUUCAAAAGUGAAAGACGGUCUUGCUGUCACUUAUAGAUGGAUCCGCGCUGCAUUAGCUAGUUGGUAAGGUAACGGCUUACCAAGGCAACGAUGCAUAGCCGACCUGAGAGGGGGAUCGCCCACCCUGGAACUGAGACCCGGUCCAGACUCCUACGGGAGGCAGCAGGAGGGAAUCUUCCGCAAUGGGCGAAAGCCUGACGGAGCAACGCCGGGGGAGUGAUGAAGGUCUUCGGAUUGUAAAACUUUUUUAUUAGGGAAAAACAUAUGUGUAAGUAACUGUGCACAUCUUGACGGUACCUAAACAGAAAGCCCCGGCUAACCACGU
rnacentral:rRNA from 1 species